CUUAUUUACUAAAGAAAUUAACCUUUUCUCUAGGACUAUAGGUUGCAAAUACCCCAGUUUGGUUGUUUUCUCUUCGGAUUGUGUUUACAUUGUUUUUCUGUUGAAGAUGUACUUUAUUUUUGUGCACUCAAAUUUAUUAAUCUUUUAUUUUCACUUAUUUUAUUUUAUCUCCUGGACUUUUGUGUCAUAGUGAGAGAGACCUGCCCCUUAUUGAAAAUCGCUCAUAUUUUCAUUGCCCACUUCCACUGUCCCCAGUUAGACUCUGGUUUAUCUAGAAUUUAUUUGACUGAAAGGUGUGAGCUGUGGAUUCGGUUGAUUUCUCAGACGGCGUUGAGUUGUCUCAGCACCACAAGUGGACUAAUCUUUUCAAGACGGCCUGAAGUCACUUUUAUCUGCAGAUUCCGCUGGGAACCUCAGUGAGACGCUGAGCUUUCUAAGAUGCUAACUCAUCUGCUUCUGGACCAGCACUACCACCACCACCAGGAGGACUUUCAACCAGUAUUUGUGUGGCUCUUUUGAUUUUUACAUGUCUAAUAAAAAAAUAAGCCGGAAAUGUGGAUGUUAUUUCAGGACCAUUUCCCCAGGAUGCUUUGCACAUCUUUCCAUGUAAACCCUCCGAGUCCCUCUGUCUCAGGCCUGUGCCUGCACACCCUCCGAGUCCCUCUGUCUCAGGCCUGUGCCUGCACACCCUCCGAGUCCCUCUGUCUCAGGCCUGUGCCUGCACACCCUCCGAGUCCCUCUGUCUCAGGUCUGUGCCUGCACACCCUCUGAUCCCUGUGUCUCAGGUCUCUGCCUUCACACCCUCUGAGUCCCUCUGUCUCAGGUCUGUGCCUGCACGCCCUCUGAUCCCUGUGUCUCAGGUCUCUGCCUUCACACCCUCUGAGUCCCUCUGUCUCAGGCCUGUGCCUGCACACCCUCCGAGUCCCUCUGUCUCAGGCCUGUGCCUGCACGCCCUCCGAGUCCCUGUGUCUCAGGCCUGUGCCUGCACACCCUCCGAGUCCCUCUGUCUCAGGCCUGUGCCUGCACACCCUCCGAG
rnacentral:lncRNA from 1 species